CGGAACUUAGCUCAGUGGUAGAGCAACUGGCUUAUAUCCAGUGUGUCGGAGGUUCGAUUCCUCCCGUUCCGA
rnacentral:tRNA from 1 species